GACGAACGCUGGCGGCGUGCUUAACACAUGCAAGUCGAACGAAGUGGCGAACGGGUGAGUAACGCGUAAUCAACCUGCCCUUCAGAGGGGGACAACAGUUGGAAACGACUGCUAAUACCGCAUACUGAAGGUGGGGAUUGCGGCUGAUUAGCUAGUUGGAGGGGUAACGGCCCAACAAGGCGAUGAUCAGUAGCCGGGCUGGAAGGGUGAACGGCCACAUUGGGACUGAGGAACGGGCCAGGCUCCUAAGGGGGGCAGCAGUGGGGAAACUUCCGCAAUGGGCGAAAGUCUGACGGAGCAACGCCGCGUGAGUGAUGACGGCCUUCGGGUUGUAAAGCUCUGUUAAUCGGGACGCGGUACCGGAAUAGAAAGCCACGGCUAACUACGUGCCAGCAGCCGCGGUAAUUC
rnacentral:rRNA from 1 species